rnacentral:RNase_P_RNA from 1 species
CGAGAAAGACUGACUAUCGCGAGGGCAACUUCGAGGAAAGUCCGGGCACCACAGAGCAUCGUAGCGGGUAAUUCCCGUCCACCGUGAGGUGAGGACAAGUGCAACAGAAAGCAAGUACAGUUCGGCUGUAGUGAAAUCAGGUAAACUCUACGAGGUGCAAGCUCAAAUAGGCCAGUGCUAGAUUGCGGCUCGCAAAAGCUGGCGGGUAGAGUGCUUGAGCUCCAAGGUAACUUGGAGCCUAGAUGAAUGAUAGUCCUUAGACAGAACCCGGCUUAUUUCUUUCUCGGUUU